GUUUUGCGUUUGAACUUUGAAGAUGAAAUCAUGUCGCAUAAGGAUCAAACGCUUGGUUUUGAUCAACAAUUAGUCUCUGAAGUAGCUGACGCAAAGCAUGCAUGUUGUUGCGAUUCAUAUCUACAUUGUUUUUUUGUCCAAAAUAAAUAUUUACGUUGUCUUUUCUAGUCUGAAUUUGUUCUCCUCAAUUUUAUUCUUCCUGCAAGUCUAUAUAGUGUUUGGUGUUUGUUCUUAUGAUCCCC
rnacentral:lncRNA from 1 species